GCCUGGCUGGCUCAGUUGUGGGAGCUUGUGACUCUUGAUCUCAGGGUUGUAAGUUCGAGCCUCACCUUGGGUG
rnacentral:tRNA from 1 species